UCUGUCAUUUCUGAUCUGACUUUUAUCGGUUAAAAUGCCCUUAAAAGGAAUUAGUUUGAGUCUGUCUUCAAACGAAACUCGCUGUAGUCCAAUAGGCGUGCGAAUUUGUGCUUCUUUAAGACAGUGACUGCAGGGCCUCUUCCUGUGGUUUGCACCAUGUGGCCUAAAAAGUGUUAAAAGGCGACAACUUCUUUCUCUUUUCUCUGUUGUUUCCGGGAUCAAGUCGGCAGAGAACUGGUUUAACAAAUAUCUGUAAAAUGAACAUUUGGAGCACAUGGAGAUAAGAGGAAGCAUGCAAUGUGACGAUUGGACCACAAAGAGACGAGGCGGGAACUUCAGAGGUACAGUGCAGUCACUCAUAAAGUAGACAGCACUACUAAAGGUCUUUACACGCUGUAGUGUUUCCUACUUUAUGGAUGAGUGUACUGUUGGCUGCGAUGGACCACCAAAGAUGCUGAAUAUGAAUGUCCCAUCUAUGAAAUAUUUAUGUGUUUCAUGGCUGAUUGUAAUGCGACUGUUUUAGUUUUUUAAGUGUUUAUCUGUAUGUAUGCCCAUUAAAUUUGUAUAUUGAAGAAAUUAUGAAAUGUGGAAAUUAAAUGACUGCAAA